UACGUAGGGUGCGAGCGUUAAUCGGAAUUACUGAGCGUAAAGCGUGCGCAGGCGGUUUGGUAAGUCAGAUGUGAAAUCCCCGAGCUCAACUUGGGAACUGCGUUUGAAACUACCAGACUAGAAUAUGUCAGAGGGGGGUAGAAUUCCACGUGUAGCAGUGAAAUGCGUAGAGAUGUGGAGGAAUACCAAUGGCGAAGGCAGCCCCCUGGGAUAAUAUUGACGCUCAUGCACGAAAGCGUGGGGAGCAAACAGG
rnacentral:rRNA from 1 species